rnacentral:rRNA from 1 species
GAUGAACGCUGGCGGCGUGCCUAAUACAUGCAAGUCGAGCGAACAGACGAGGAGCUUGCUCCUCUGACGUUAGCGGCGGACGGGUGAGUAACACGUGGAUAACCUACCUAUGAGACUGGGAUAACUUCGGGAAACCGGAGCUAAUACCGGAUAAUAUAUUGAACCGCAUGGUUCAAUAGUGAAAGACGGUUUUGCUGUCACUUAUAGAUGGAUCCGCGCCGCAUUAGCUAGUUGGUAAGGUAACGGCUUACCAAGGCAACGAUGCGUGGCCGACCUGAGAGGGUGAUCGGCCACACUGGAACUGAGACACGGUCCAGACUCCUACGGGAGGCAGCAGUAGGGAAUCUUCCGCAAUGGGCGAAAGCCUGACGGAGCAACGCCGCGUGAGUGAUGAAGGUCUUCGGAUCGUAAAACUCUGUUAUUAGGGAAGAACAAAUGUGUAAGUAACUAUGCACGUCUUGACGGUACCUAAUCAGAAAGCCACGGCUAACUACGUG